GAAAACAAAAAAUCAUGGCGGUAUCUUAAGCUUUUCAGAGGAAUUUGCUCUUUAAUGGAUAAAACACCCAAAUCUUACUGAAAUUGGUUAAGACAGUUUGUAUACCACUAUUCAAGUAAUUAUUAAUUAUAAUUACUGUAAAUUUUAAACAAAAAAAAAGUUAAGUCAAGGUGCAGCUUAAAUUUUAGGAUGAAGUGAAUUACAAUGCUUUUUAGAAAAGUGAUUAAAAAAAAUUAGGAUUUGAAAGUAAAAAUUUUAAUAGAAUGAUUAUUUGAAUUAAGCUCUGAGAUAUGUA
rnacentral:rRNA from 1 species